rnacentral:rRNA from 1 species
UUGUUGCAGUUAAAAAGCUCGUAGUUGGACCUUGGGCAGGAGGCACGGGUUGGCCGAAUGGCUCGACUCGGGUCUCCGGCCUCUAUGGGUGGUCGUGCCUUUGGUACGGUUCGCCCGGGUUACUGUGAAGAAAUUAGAGUGUUUAAAGCAGGCGAUUGCUUGGAUACAUCAGCAUGGAAUAACAAGAUAGGACCUGGUUCCACUUGUUGGUUUGGGGGCUUUGGUAAUGAUUAAUAGGGCCAGUUGGGGGCAUUAGUAUUCAGUAGUCAGAGGUGAAAUUCUUGAAUUUACUGAAGACUAACUAGUGCGAAAGCAUUUGCCAAGGAUGUUUUCAUUAAUCAAGAACGAAAGUUAGGGGAUCGAAGACGAUCAGAUACCGUCGUAGUCUUAACUAUAAACGAUGCCGACUCGGGAUCGGCAGACGUCGUUAGCGACACUGUCGGCACCGUGUGAGAAAUCAAAGUUUUUGGGUUCUGGGGGGAGUAUGGUCGCAAGGCUGAAACUUAAAGGAAUUGACGGAAGGGCACCACCAGGAGUGGAGCCUGCGGCUUAAUUUGACUCAACACGGGAAAACUCACCAGGUCCGGACAUAGUAAGGAUUGACAGAUUGAGAGCUCUUUCUUGAUUCUG